rnacentral:rRNA from 1 species
AGUGAGCGCUGGCGGUAGGCCUAACACAUGCAAGUCGAACGGCAGCACAGUAAGAGCUUGCUCUUACGGGUGGCGAGUGGCGGACGGGUGAGGAAUACAUCGGAAUCUACUUUUUCGUGGGGGAUAACGUAGGGAAACUUACGCUAAUACCGCAUACGACCUACGGGUGAAAGCAGGGGAUCUUCGGACCUUGCGCGAUUGAAUGAGCCGAUGUCGGAUUAGCUAGUUGGCGGGGUAAAGGCCCACCAAGGCGACGAUCCGUAGCUGGUCUGAGAGGAUGAGCAGCCACACUGGAAAUGAGACACGGUCCAGACUCCUACGGGAGGCAGCAGUGGGGAAUAUUGGACAAUGGGCGCAAGCCGGAUCCAGCCAUACCGCGUGGGUGAAGAAGGCCUUCGGGUUGUAAAGCCAUUUUGUUGGGAAAGAAAAGCAGCAGGUUAAUACCCCGCUGUUCUGACGGUACCCAAAGAAUAAGCACCGGCUAACUUCGU